rnacentral:rRNA from 1 species
AGAGUUUGAUCCUGGCUCAGGACGAACGCUGGCGGCGUGCUUAACACAUGCAAGUCGAACGGAAAGGCCCUGCUUUUGUGGGGUGCUCGAGUGGCGAACGGGUGAGUAACACGUGAGUAACCUGCCCUUGACUUUGGGAUAACUUCAGGAAACUGGGGCUAAUACCGGAUAGGAGCUCCUGCUGCAUGGUGGGGGUUGGAAAGUUUCGGCGGUUGGGGAUGGACUCGCGGCUUAUCAGCUUGUUGGUGGGGUAGUGGCUUACCAAGGCUUUGACGGGUAGCCGGCCUGAGAGGGUGACCGGCCACAUUGGGACUGAGAUACGGCCCAGACUCCUACGGGAAGCAGCAGUGGGGAAUAUUGCACAAUGGGCGGAAGCCUGAUGCAGCAACGCCGCGUGCGGGAUGACGGCCUUCGGGUUGUAAACCGCUUUCGCCUGUGACGAAGCGUGAGUGACGGUAAUGGGUAAAGAAGCACCGGCUAACUACGUG